UACGUAGGGGGCAAGCGUUGUCCGGAUUUAUUGGGCGUAAAGAGCUCGUAGGUGGUUUGUUGCGUUGUUCGUGAAAACCGGGGGCUUAACCCUCGGCGUGCGGGCGAUACGGGCAGACUGGAGUACUGCAGGGGAGACUGGAAUUCCUGGUGUAGCGGUGGAAUGCGCAGAUAUCAGGAGGAACACCGGUGGCGAAGGCGGGUCUCUGGGCAGUAACUGACGCUGAGGAGCGAAAGCGUGGGGAGCGAACAGG
rnacentral:rRNA from 1 species